UAGGGCGGGACACGAGGAAUCCUGUCUGAAUCCGGGUCGACCACGAUCCAACCCUAAAUACUAAUACCAGAUCGAUAGUGCACAAGUACCGUGAGGGAAAGGUGAAAAGAACUGAGGUGAUCAGAGUGAAAUAGAACCUGAAACCAUUUGCUUACAAUCAUUCAGAGCCCUAUGUAGCAAUACAGGGUGAUGGACUGCCUUUUGCAUAAUGAGCCUGCGAGUUGUGGUGUCUGGCAAGGUUAAGCAAACGCGAAGCCGUAGCGAAAGCGAGUCUGAAUAGGGCGCUUAGUCAGAUGCUGCAGACCCGAAACGAAGUGAUCUAUCCAUGAGCAAGUUGAAGCUAGUGUAAGAACUAGUGGAGGACUGAACCCAUAGGCGUUGAAAAGCCCCGGGAUGACUUGUGGAUAGGGGUGAAAGGCCAAUCAAACUUCGUGAUAGCUGGUUCUCUCCGAAAUAUAUUUAGGUAUAGCGUUGUGUCGUAAUAUAAGGGGGUAGAGCACUGAAUGGGCUAGGGCAUACACCAAUGUACCAAACCCUAUCAAACUCCGAAUACCUUAUAUGUAAUCACAGCAGUCAGGCGGCGAGUGAUAAAAUCCGUCGUCAAGAGGGAAACAACCCAG
rnacentral:rRNA from 1 species